rnacentral:rRNA from 1 species
CCUACGGGUGGCAGCAGUGGGGAAUCUUCCGCAAUGGGCGAAAGCCUGACGGAGCAACGCCGCGUGCUCGAAUGAAGGCCUUUGGGUUGUAAAGAUCUGUUGACAGGGGCGAAUAAGCAAUGCAAAUAGUUUUGUGUAUGACGGGACCUGUUUAGAAAGCUCCGGCUAACUACGUGCCAGCAGCCGCGUUAAUACGUAGGGAGCAAGCGUUGGCCGGAUUUACUGGGCGUAAAGGGCGCGUAGGCGGGCGCUUAAGUGAGGUGUGAAAACUCCGGGCUCAACCUGGUGACUGCACUUGAAACUGGGUGUCUAGAGGGCAGGAGAGGAAAGUGGAAUUCCUAGUGUAGCGGUGAAAUGCGUAGAUAUUA